UGCCCCAUCAAACCAAAAUGGAAGAUAUAAACAUAGGAGUGACAAUGGGACUGUUCCAAAAGAGGUUCCAGAUUGGGUCAUUGCUGUGAGCACUGUCGCCUCAGCCGCCGUAGCAUGUGGUAGUUGUCUGCUGCUUGGCGCUCUUUACAAGAGAAAGAGGAAGAAAAAGAAGAUCAAACCAGAUGAAAACGAAAACAAACAAGAAGCUUCCAAAUCCUGGAUUUUGUCGAUUUAAUGCAUUGUUGUUCCUUAAUCUCCAAUCACAGGGUGCGCUUAAAUUGUCUGUUACAAAAUAAUUGUACCGCAGAUACUUUAAUUUUGUAUACUUUUUUGGAAGCCCCUGGUAUCAGA